rnacentral:rRNA from 1 species
UAGAGUUUGAUCAUGGCUCAGAUUGAACGCUGGCGGCAGGCCUAACACAUGCAAGUCGAGCGGUAACAGAGAUUAGCUUGCUAAUCUGCUGACGAGCGGCGGACGGGUGAGUAAUGCCUAGGAAGUUGCCCGGUAGAGGGGGAUAACCAUUGGAAACGAUGGCUAAUACCGCAUAAUCUCUAAGGAGCAAAGCAGGGGACCUUCGGGCCUUGUGCUACCGGAUACGCCUAGGUGGGAUUAGCUAGUUGGUGAGGUAAUGGCUCACCAAGGCGACGAUCCCUAGCUGGUCUGAGAGGAUGAUCAGCCACACUGGAACUGAGACACGGUCCAGACUCCUACGGGAGGCAGCAGUGGGGAAUAUUGCACAAUGGGCGAAAGCCUGAUGCAGCCAUGCCGCGUGUAUGAAGAAGGCCUUCGGGUUGUAAAGUACUUUCAGUUGUGAGGAAGGGGGUAAGCUUAAUACGCUUACCUCUUGACGUUAGCAACAGAAGAAGCACCGGCUAACUCCGUGCCAGCAGCCGCGGUAAUACGGAGGGUGCGAGCGUUAAUCGGAAUUACUGGGCGUAAAGCGCAUGCAGGUGGUUCAUUAAGUCAGAUGUGAAAGCCCGGGGCUCAACCUCGGAACUGCAUUUGAAACUGGUGAACUAGAGUGCUGUAGAGGGGGGUAGAAUUUCA